CUUCACGGCCCUAUCCGAGCCUUGAGAGGCGGCCCGAUCUCGUCUGAUCUCGGAAGCUAGAGCAGGGUCGGCCUGGUUAGAUCUUGAGGGAGACCACCUGGGGAACCGGGUGUCGAGGC
rnacentral:rRNA from 1 species